CGAGUCCGCGUACCCAGGGAAAGCGGUGUGUCGCCAUCUUUUUUGUGGGCAAAGACCCCUUCGCGAUUUAGGUUCCCAAAGAAGGCUUCUCACAAAGCUCAUAGAGAGACGUUCGGAGGAGAAUGGGCAUCUUGCAUACUGAAACAUCGACCUGAAGUGUUGGGGGUCGAAGUGGCAACCCAUGAAACCGAGAAUAAACGGGAGGCCUGCCCUGAGUAAAGAACUGGGUUGUGGCACACAAGCUGCAUGAGACGAUCUGACAUGGAUCUCAUAACUGCUGUUUCUUCAUCUACAUUAGAGCACUGGUCAGACCUGACAGCUCAGAAUGAUGUAAGUGAGGCUGGAUCGAAACACCCAGGAAAGUAUGUGCCACCACAGCCUGCUGGGAGAAGGGUUAAAAACCCCCAAAGGAAAGCCACAAGGGAUGGACUGGAUCACUGAUCUUCACAAGGAGUGGAAAUGUGGAAUUCAUUACAUAGCCACAAAGAAAUGCACUUUUUUUUUUUUUUUUCUGGAGGUGAAUUUUCUGCUUGCUGAACAGAGCAGAUGGCUGCGCUUGAGAUGGGAAAGGAAAUUGCUAGCCCCGUCCUCUGGCAUAGAAUUAAGGAAGAAACAAUUGACUAACUCACCAAUCUGGGCUCUGAUCCUUCUUCUGUACCCUCUGAAGGUUUCUCCUGCAGAUGUGCCUGUCAUCAGAGAGUCUUUGAGGAGCACUGCCCUGAUUCACUUCUCCUAAACUGAUGGGGAUCUGCCUCACCUGUGUGCUGCACCCAGAUUCUCAGCCGCCUUCCCUGAGCCCCUGCAGUCUGUUCCUGCCAAGCUGCAGGACUUCUUCCUUUGAAUUCUCUCUUUCUGCCCAGUAGGGUACAUAGUAGGUUUCUGUUUUCUGUAUACAUACAUACAUAGAUGCCGUUUAUUUCUGGAGUGGCCAAAAUGGAUGGUGCUUGAAGCUUUCCUAUAAUGCCCCACAUUAACAAAGUGGCCACUGUCCUGAUUUGUCGGUGACUUUUCCAGCUUCAGCCUCAGCAAAUUGGCAUCUUGGGUGGCUUACUGGAAGAUUCCAUAUGUUCAUCUUCAUGGGUCCUUCACAUCAUGGAAGAGGAUGACAUUAAACAAAUGAUUCCACAACAAAAUGAGCAGCUUGCCCUCUGGAUUAGUGGGCUCUGCAUCUACUGACUUAGCCAAACUCUGACUGAAAAUUUCCAAUAGAAAUUGCAUUUGUACCAAAAAAUGCAGACUCUUUCCUUCCUGACACUGCCCCCCCCAAACUACAGUGUAACAUCUGUGGUGUAUCUCCAUUGGAUGUGGGGGAUGUACACAGGUUACACAGGAAUGCUGUUACAUCCACAUAAGGGCUUGGAGCAUCCUGGAGGGAAGAAGGAAGGCUACUCUGAAUGAGGGCAGGAACACUCCACAGGCCAGGGCACUGGACUCAAAAAAAAAAAAAAAGGAAAGGAGAAAGCCAGCUGACUACCAGCAUACCAGUGUCUGUCUCUCUAUAUAUCCUGCUCUGGCUAGAUGGCAGUGAGCUCCUAAUGCCACCAUCAUAGACUGCAUCCUCUGAACCAUGAGCUGCAAUAAACUUCCCCUCUGAUGUACUGUUCUGUCGGGCAUUUUGUCUAAGCAGUGAGAAAGUAACUGAUAGAAUUACUCUAACUAUACUGUGCCCAGAAAUCACACCAAUGAAUGGAAAAGUGCCUUGAUCAAGAGGGACACAGCCUGUCUAACACAAAGUGAUGGGUGCAGUGAACCGGAGGCCUACAGUCUCUUGGCCCCGAUUACCUGGCACUGCUUGUAUUUUAAUUAGCAUUUCAAGUACCAGAAGCUCUCUCUGAUGAA